UACGGAGGGUGCGAGCGUUAAUCGGAAUAACUGGGCGUAAAGCGCACGCAGGCGGGCUUUUAAGAGAGAUGUGAAAUCCCCGGGCUUAACCUGGGAAUAGCAUUUCAGACUGGAAGUCUAGAGUACUUUAGGGAGGGGUAGAAUUCCACGUGUAGCGGUGAAAUGCGUAGAGAUGUGGAGGAAUACCGAGGGCGAAGGCAGCGCCUUGGGAAUGUACUGACGCUCAUGUGCGAAAGCGUGGGGAGCAAACAGG
rnacentral:rRNA from 1 species